rnacentral:rRNA from 1 species
CAGCAGUAGCCGCGGGAAUACGAAGGGGGCUAGCGUUGCUCGGAAUUACUGGGCGUAAAGGGAGCGUAGGCGGAUCGUUAAGUUGGGGGUGAAAGCCCGGGGCUCAACCUCGGAACUGCCUUCAAUACUGGCGAUCUUGAGUAUGAGAGAGGUGUGUGGAACUCCGAGUGUAGAGGUGAAAUUCGUAGAUAUUCGGAAGAACACCAGUGGCGAAGGCGACACACUGGCUCAUCACUGACACUGAGGAGCGAAAGCGUGGGGAGCGAACAGGAUUAGAUACCCCAGUAGUCCCUGUCUCUUAUAC